AAGGAUUUAAGUUAAUUAAACUAUUAACCUUCAAAGUUAAAAAUGGAUUAUUUCUAAGCCUU
rnacentral:tRNA from 1 species